rnacentral:rRNA from 1 species
UACGAGGGGGGCGAGCGUUGUUCGGAAUUAUUGGGCGUAAAGGGUGCGUAGGCGGUUUGGUAAGUCUCUUGUGAAAUCUAUGGGCUCAACUCAUAGUCUGCAAGGGAAACUGCCGGGCUUGAGUGUGGGAGAGGUGAGUGGAAUUUCCGGUGUAGCGGUGAAAUGCGUAGAUAUCGGAAGGAACACCUGUGGCGAAGGCGGCUCACUGGCCCGAUACUGACGCUGAGGCACGAAAGCGUGGGGAGCAAACAGG